UCCUACGGGAGGCAGCAGUGAGGAAUAUUGGUCAAUGGGUGAGAGCCUGAACCAGCCAUCCCGCGUGCAGGAUGACGGUCCUAGUGAUUGUAAACUGCUUUUCUAUGAGAUGAAUAAGAAUUACGUGUAGUUCGAUGACCGUAUUAUAGGAAUAAGCAUCGGCUAACUCCGUGCCAGCAGCCGCGGUAAUACGGAGGAUGCAAGCGUUAUCCGGAUUUAUUAGGUUUAAAGGGUGCGUAGGUGGGCGUUUAAGUCAGUGGUUAAAGCCAUUAGCUUAACUAAUGUAUGCCAUUGAUACUGGAUGUCUUGAAUGUGGUAGAGGUAGGCGGAAUGUGUUGUGUAGCGGUGAAAUGCUUAGAUAUAACACAGAACACCGAUUGCGAAGGCAGCUUACUAUUCCAUUAUUGACGCUGAUGCACGAAAGCGUGGGGAUCAAACAGGAUUAGAUACCCUGGUAGUCCACGCUGUAAACUAUGAUCACUCGUUUUUGGCGAUAUAUAGUCAGAGACUGAGCGAAAGCAUUAAGUGAUCCACCUGGGGAGUACGUUCGCAAGAAUGAAACUCAAAGGAAUUGACGGGGGCCCGCACAAGCGGAGGAACAUGUGGUUUAAUUCGAUGAUACGCGAGGAACCUUACCUGGGCUUAAAUGUAUAGUGCAUAAUGUGGAAACACAUUUUUCCUUCGGGACUCUUUACAAGGUGCUGCAUGGUUGUCGUCAGCUCGUGCCGUGAGGUGUCGGGUUAAGUCCCAUAACGAGCGCAACCCUCAUCGUUAGUUGCCAACACGUGAAGGUGGGGACUCUAGCGAGACUGCCGGUGUAAACCGUGAGGAAGGUGGGGAUGACGUCAAAUCAGCACGGCCCUUAUGUCCAGGGCUACACACGUGUUACAAUGGCCAAUACAAAGGGCAGCCACCUGGUGACAGGGCGCUAAUCCUCAAAGUUGGUCUUAGUUCGGAUCGGAGUCUGCAACUCGACUCCGUGAAGCUGGAUUCGCUAGUAAUCGUAGAUCAGCCAUGCUACGGUGAAUACGUUCCCGGGCCUUGUACACACCGCCCGUCAAGCCAUGGAAGUUGGGGGUACCUGAAGUCCGUAACCGCGAGGAGCGACCUAAAGGCAAAACAGGUAACUGGGGCUAAGUCGUAACAAGGUAACCA
rnacentral:rRNA from 1 species